UUCACAAACUACAGUGACAGCCGAAAAUUCACCUGUUGAGUAUACCUAAGUAGUCUCGCUAACAGGACUUUGAGAUAGCUGAAAAACUUAACCUGUAGCUAUUCAGUUUAUAGGGAAGCCAUUAAAUUUUCCGGAUACUGCCGCGAACGAGCUGCGCGAGAGAUAAGAUCCGUAUAUUUCGAAGUAGGCAUAAACCGCCCGAAACUUAUCAAUUACCACGCGUUUUAUUGCAUUAAUGUUAUCUUUUGGCACCAUGGCUGCCCAUAGGGGAAAGAAACGUACAGGCUUAUCCGUUCAGCGAUGCCGCUAUGUUUGACGUGUCUGCCUGGUAGCCCGGAUACGCCCAAUACGGAAGGAAGUUCUCUCUUGUCAACGCUGGUGAUUUUGCCCAAUAAUACACUAAUUCACGCAUUGGAUAUGCUGUGAGAGGAUAAACUAGCGAAUAUUGUAUGAGUAAGCCUGUGCCUGAGUAUUGGAAUCCUGAAAAGUCUUUUAUCAAAACGUUGUUUAUCCUGCAAAGCCGGCAACAAAUAAUCGGCUAUCGACAAAAUAUUUUGGGCAUCUCUGGUUUUGGACAACUAUGCAGUUACGCUCGCAACGUUCUAAAAUGGUCCUUGGAAGGAUAGAUUCCGAGACCCUGUUGCAAAGCUUCAUCGCAGUGCUUCUGACUCAGCUGGCCAUUCUCAACGAAUCGAACCGUAGUUGCUCCUCCAUGCCGGUAGGAUUGAAUAUACA